AUUGAACGCUGGCGGCAUGCCUUACACAUGCAAGUCGAACGGUAACAGGUCUUCGGAUGCUGACGAGUGGCGAACGGGUGAGUAAUACAUCGGAACGUGCCUAGUAGUGGGGGAUAACUACUCGAAAGAGUGGCUAAUACCGCAUGAGAUCUACGGAUGAAAGCAGGGGAUCGCAAGACCUUGUGCUACUAGAGCGGCCGAUGGCAGAUUAGGUAGUUGGUGGGAUAAAAGCUUACCAAGCCGACGAUCUGUAGCUGGUCUGAGAGGACGGUCAGCCACACUGGGACUUAGACACGGCCCAGACUCCUACGGGAGGCGGCAGUGGGGAAGUUUGGACAAUGGGCGAAAGCCUAAUCCAGCAAUGCAGCGUGCAGGAUGAAGGCCUUCGGGUUGUAAACUGCUUUUGUACGGAACGAAAAGCCCCGGGUUAAUACCCUGGGGUCAUGACGGUACCGUAAGAAUAAGCACCGGCUAACUACGUGCCAGCCGCCGCCGUAAAAC
rnacentral:rRNA from 1 species